CGAAAUAGAACUCAGGCUAAAACCGCGACGUCCUGUCGCAACGCCUGAGUGACCAGCAUCAUGCGGG
rnacentral:sRNA from 1 species